GACGAACGCUGGCGGCGUGCUUAACACAUGCAAGUCGAACGGAAAGGCCCUGCUUUUGUUGCUUUCUCGAUUGGCGAACGGGUGAGUAACACGUGAGUAACCUGCCCUUGACUUUGGGAUAACUUCAGGAAACUGGGGCUAAUACCGGAUAUGAUCUCCUGCUGCAUGGUGUGGGUUGGAAAGUUUCGGCGGUUGGGGAUGGACUCGCUGCUUAUCAGCUUGUUGGUGGGGUAGUGGCUUACCAAGGCUUUGACGGGUAGCCGGCCUGAGAGGGUUACCGGGCACAUGGGGACUGAGAUACGGCCCAGAAUCCUACGGGAGGCAGCAGUGGGGAAUAUUGCACAAUGGGGGGAAGUGUGAUGCAGAAACGCCGCGAGCGGGAUGACGGCCUUAGGGUUGUAAACAGAUUUCGACUGUGACGAAGCGUGAGUGACGGUAAUGGGUAAAGAAGCACCGGCUAACUACGUG
rnacentral:rRNA from 1 species